UACGGAGGGUGCGAGCGUUGUCCGGAAUCACUGGGCGUAAAGGGCGCGUAGGCGGCAGGCCAAGCGUGCAGUGAAAGUCCGGGGCUCAACCCCGGAUCUGCCGUGCGGACUGGUUUGCUAGAGCACUGUAGAGGCGAGUGGAAUUCCGGGUGUAGCGGUGGAAUGCGUAGAGAUCCGGAAGAACACCGGUGGCGAAGGCGGCUCGCUGGGCAGUGGCUGACGCUGAGGCGCGACAGCGUGGGGAGCAAACAGG
rnacentral:rRNA from 1 species